GGACAAUCAUUCCUUCGUCCAAUCAUUUAGAACCAUAAAUUUAUUCAAUACAGCUUUGCAGAUGCUACAUCCUCUCUCUAAGAAAAUCGCCAUUAUAUUUCAAUAUCUUGGUCAUGAUAAUAUCCAUACCAGGGCUCUCACUACACUUUAAUGCACCAAUCACAAUUACAAGUCUUUUCUACAUAAAUUUCUAGUCUCACAUUUAUCUUUUGCAUUAAUCCUAUUCUUACUUCAGUCAUCUUCAUCCUCUUUCCAAUUAGCUUAAAAUGCUCAUGGAUCUACUCCUUUUUAUCAACCAUGCAGAUUCAUCUUUUAUCCUGCCAUCUGUACUUUUCACAUAUGUAUUUGCCUAUCAAUUUAGAGGAUCUGGAUUCAAUUCUAGGUCUCACACCUGCAGUUUUUCAGAUGGGCUCCAUAUCCAGCCAGUCUGUAUUAAUUUAUGUAUUAUAUACCAAUUCGAAGUAUUAUUUUGCAAAUAAUUUUCCUUUUGAGAUAUAAAAUAAAAACAGAAUAUAAUUGAGAAGUGCCAAAAU
rnacentral:lncRNA from 1 species